AAGACUCUGUAAAAUUUUUGAUUACUUUAAAAAUUGUGUGUGUGAAUAACGUUAGUUUACUAGAAAAGGGGCUUGCUAGUAUAUAUAAUUUGGUUAAAAAAACAAAAACAAAACAAAACAGCUCCUUACUUGAAUGUGAUUGUUUUGGCAAUAGUAAAAUUCAAUCCCGUCGUUCUAGCGCUGCCUGCCUUCCUGGUUCUCCUAGGUGAGGGCCGCCAUCCUGCGAUAAUUUACUUCGAGAGCUGCGAAGCGCUGGCAAGGGUGCAGUCUGGUGACUAGCACUUUUAAAAACAAAGCCAAACUCCGCUUUUAAAAUAGAGAAGGCACAGACGCAGACCCUGCCUCUGACGACAUCCAAAAGAUUCAUUAUACACAGCCUAUUCAGGCGAAGCUACAACCGCCCCAGGAAAUAUAAACUGUGUCGGCAAAGACAGCAGGGGGGAGAGGAAGUAACUGAUGGGAAGGAAGCUAAUCAUGUGAAGUUUGUCCAACUCCACACGGUCUAAUAAAUUCCCGUUUGUUUCCGCUGGGAGCAGCCAUUAAACGCGCCCUGACACGUGGGCGCAGGAACCUCCCUUCUACCUCUGGUGUUCAGAGAUUUCCUUCUCGACCCACUUGUUUGUAUACAACCACGCCCGGCAGGAUGACCACCAGAUGACCGGCCGCAGCAAUGCCUCCACUCAGUCCCAGUUGGGCAAAGUUUCACUCCACUGCGGCGACGUGAACAAGAAUCACGGCUUCCUUAUCGUAUGUUUUGUGACCCAGAAUGUGAUCCUGGUAAACAUUCCAUUUGAGAAGAAUGUGUAUUCUGCUGUUGUUGGGUGAGAUACUUUUUAUAUGUUAAUUAAAUUGCUAAUUGGUUAAUGAUGUUGUUCACUUCAGCUGUAUUCUUACUGAUUUUCUACCUCCUGGAGAUAUCAAUUACUGGGAGAGUUUUUUUUAUUUAAGUCUUCAACCAUAAUAACAGAUUUGUCUACUUCUCUUUUCGGUUCUAUUAGUAUUUGCCUCAUGUCUUUUGGUGCUUUGCUAUCAGGUGCAUGCACGUUAAUGAUUAUUAUGUAUCUUGGAAAAUUAGCCCUUUUAUCAUUAUGAAAUGCCCCUGAUAAUUUAUCCCUGAUGAUUUUCCUUGUUCUGAAAUCUGAUUUAUUUGAAAUUAACAAAUCUACUCCAACUUUCUCUUGCUUAGUAUUAUUAUGGUAGACAUUUCUCUAUCACUUUACUUUUAACCUAUUUGUGCUUUUAUAUUUUAAAUGGGUUUUUUUUGUAAACAAUAUAUAGUUAGGUCUCCUUUAUCUAUUCUGACAGUCUCUGUCUUUUAAUUUACAUAUUCAAACCAUUCACAUUUUAAUAUGAUUAUGGAUAUAGUUGGUUUAAUAACUACCAUGUUUGUAACUGUUUUCUAUUAAUUGUACUUUUUAUUUUUUAUUUUUUCCCUCUUUUUCUGCCUUCUCUAGUUGUAGAACAUUUUAUGUCAUUUUAUAUUUCUUCUCUCUUAGUACAACAGUUACCACAAUUUAAAAAAAUUUUAAUAGCUGCUCUAGAAUUUGCAAUGUAUAACUUUAUGUUCACCUUUAAAUAAGACUAUGCCACUUUACAUUCAAUUCAAGUACCUUAUAACAUAGUAUUUCCAGUUCAUUCCUGCCAUCCUUUAUAGUAUUGGUGUUAUUCAUUUCAUUCAUUCAUAUGCUAUAACUGCUUGAUAUAUUGUUAAUAUAAUUACAUUGAACAGUUAUCUAUUAGAUCAAUCAAGAAUAAGAAAAGAUUUUAUUUUACCUUCAUUCCAUCUCUAGCAUUCUUCCUUUCUUCAUUUCUUUUUUCCUUUUUUUCAUUUCUUUUAUUUGUUUAUUUUUUUAAUUUUUAUUUUACGUUUGGGGUGCAUGUGAAGGUUUGUUACACAGGUAAACUUGUGUCUUGGGGGUUUGUUGUACAGAUUAUUUCAUCACCCAGCUAUUAAGCCCAGUACCCAACAGUUAUCUUUUCUGUUCCUCUCCCUCCUCCCACCAUCCACCAUCAAGUAGAGCCCAGUGUAUGUUGUUUCCUUCUUUCUCAAGUUCUUAUAAUUUAGCUCCCACUUAUAAUUGAGAACAUACAAUAGUUGGUUUUCUGUUCCUGCAUUAGUUUGCUAAGGAUAAUGGCCUCCAGCUCCAUUCAUGUUCCCACAAAAGACAUGAUCUCAUUCUUUUUUAUGGCUGCAUAGUAUUACACGGUGUAGAGGUACCACAUUUGCUUUAUACAACCUGUCAUCGAUGGGCAUUUAGGUUGAUUCCAUGUCUUUGUUAUUGUGAAUAGCGCUACAAUGAACAUUCACGUGCAUGUGUCUUUAUGGUAAAAUGAUUUCUAUUCCUCUGGGUAUAUACCAAUAAUGGGAUUAUUGGGUUAAAUGGUAAUUCUGCUUUUUGCUCUUUGAAGAAUUGCCAUACUGCUUUUCAUAAUGGUUUAACUAACUUACAUUUCCACCAACAGUGUAUAAGUCUUCCCUUUUCUCUGCCACCUCAGCAGCAUCAGUUUUUAAAAUUUUUUUUUUAAUAGCCAUUCUGACUGGUGUGAGAUGGUAUUUCAUGGUGGUUUUGAUUUGCGUUUCUAAUGAUCAGUUACAUUGAGCUUUUUUUCAUGUGCUUGUUGGGUGCGUAUAUGUCUUCUUUUGAGAAGUAUCUAUUCAUGUUCUUUGCCCACUUUUUAAAGAGGUUGUUUUUCUCCUCUAA
rnacentral:lncRNA from 10 species